rnacentral:rRNA from 1 species
UACGUAGGGGGCAAGCGUUGUCCGGAAUCAUUGGGCGUAAAGCGCGUGUAGGCGGCUCGGUAAGUCUGCUGUGAAAGUCCAGGGCUCAACCCCUGGGAUGCCGGUGGAUACUGUCGAGCUCGAGUCCGGAAGAGGCGAGUGGAAUUCCUGGUGUAGCGGUGAAAUGCGCAGAUAUCAGGAGGAACACCAAUGGCGAAGGCAGCUCGCUGGGACGUGACUGACGCUGAGACGCGAAAGCGUGGGGAGCAAACAGG